GUGCAGCAGUCGCGAAUACUUUACAAUGUGCGAAAGCACGAUAAGGGAACUCUGAGUGCCUCCUAAGGAGGCUGUUCAGGUGUCUAAAAGCACCUGAAGGAAGGGCUGGGUAAGACCGGUGCCAGCCGCCGCGGUAACACCGGCAGCCCAAGUGGUAGCCACGUUUAUUGGGUCUAAAGCGUCCGUAGCCGGCUGGGUAAGUUCCUUGGGAAAUUUGGCUGCUUAACUGUCAAGCUUUCAGGGAAUACUGCCCGGCUUGGGACCGGGAGAGGUCAGAGGUACUCCAGGGGUAGGGCGAAAUCCAUUAAUCCUUGGGGGACCACCGGUAGCGAAGGCGUCUGUCCAGACCGGGUCCGACGGUGAGGGACGAAGGCUAGGGGCGCGAACCGGAUUAGAUACCCCUGUAG
rnacentral:rRNA from 1 species